rnacentral:rRNA from 1 species
UACGAGUGCCCCGAGCGUUAUCCGGAAUCAUUGGGCGUAAAGGGUGUGUAGGUGGCAAUGUUAGUCUUUUGUCAAAACCUUGGGCUCAACCCAAGAUCUGCAGAAGAAACGGCAUUGCUCGAGGAUGCGAGGGGUGAAUGGAACUCAUGGAGUAGGGGUGAAAUCCGUUGAUAUCAUGGGGAACACCAAAAGCGAAGGCAAUUCACUGGCGCAUUCCUGACACUGAAACACGAAAGCGUGGGUAGCGAACGGG